rnacentral:tRNA from 1 species
UUACAAGCAGUGUUUAGGGCACGAAGAAUUUUGAUUUCUUAAGAGAGGCAGCAAACCUCCUAGUAAG